GUAUGAUGGUUGAAUAUUAAUUAACUUUAUGUAUUUUAAUUAAAAUAAAUUUAUAAUUGUAGUUAAAAUACUUCAUUAAACUAACGGGACGACAAGACCCUAUAAGUUUUAUGAAUCUUUUUAAAAAAAACUAAUUUUAUUAAAAUUUAUUGAGCUGGGGAAGUUAAAAUGAUAAUUUUAUUUUGAAAAUUUAUAACUAAUUAUUAGAACUCUGAUUGGAUUUAUAACCAUAACUAGGUAAAUUACUUUAGGGAUAACAGCAUAAUUUUUCUAAAGAGAUCUCAUUGACAGAAUAGAUUAUGACCUCGAUGUUGAAUUAAAACUUCUACUAGAAGCAAAAUAAUAGUUAAGAAGGUUUGUUCAACCUUUAAAUUUUUACAUGAUUU
rnacentral:rRNA from 1 species